rnacentral:rRNA from 1 species
AUGGCGGAGGAACGAUUAGCCCGUCUCACCUUGCAGGAGGAAGAAGAUGAUGAUUUUGUGUGGGAAGAGGAGCUCCCAGAUAUGAUGGACUCGGCGAGGUGGCUGGCGAUUGUGAGGGUUCAUACAACAAAAACUUUCAGCCCUAAUGCACUGUAUGGUGAUAGGAGGGCAACCUGGAAUUCGGCCAAGACGGUAGUCUGGAGGAAGAUCAAAGAGAACCUGUUUACGGCGCAGUUCGGAUGUCUUGCAGAUUGGAAGAAAGCAAUGCUGGAUGGUCCAUGGCUGUUCAGGGAUCAGGUAGUGAUCUUGGAGGAGUAUGAUGGAUUCAAAAACCCUGACUCGUUCAAGCUGGACAAGAUUGAGGUGUGGGCUCAGAUCCAUCGCCUACCUGACAAUUUUCUCAUUGAGCCGGCAGUAAAGGGACUUGCGUCGCGAAUUGGCGAGGUUAAGGAGGUGCAGCUGAAGUUGCCGGCAGGAUUCUUCGGCGAAUAUGUGAGAGUUAGAGUCAAGAUUGAUGUUAAUGCAAAGAUCAAAAGAUUUGUGACUGCGAAGAAAGGGGAAGAGAGAGUCAAGUAUCAAGUAAAGUAUGAAAAGCUGCCAAUUUUCUGUUACAACUGCUGA